GCCAGCCGCUCAGAACUUAAGGAAUUGACGGGGCCCGCACAAGCGGUGGAGUAUGUGGUUUAAUUCGAUGCAACGCGAAGACCUUACCUGGUCUUGACAUCCCGGAGACCCUUAGGAAACUAGGGGGUGCUUCCAUCUGGAAGAAUCUGGAGACAGGUGCUGCAUGGCUGUCGUCAGCUCGUGUCGUGAGAUGUUGGGUUAAGUCCCGCAACGAGCGCAACCCUUGCCUUUAGUUGCCAGCAGUUCGGCUGGGCACUCUAAAGGGACUGCCGGUGUUAAACCGGAGGAAGGUGGGGAUGACGUCAAGUCCUCAUGGCCUUUAUGACCAGGGCUACACACGUACUACAAUGGCCGAUACAAAGGGCAGCGACACUGCGAGGUGAAGCCAAUCCCGUAAAAUCGGUCUCAGUCCGGAUUGGAGUCUGCAACUCGACUCCAUGAAGUUGGAAUCGCUAGUAAUCGUGGAUCAGCAUGCCACGGUGAAUACGUUCCCGGGCCUU
rnacentral:rRNA from 1 species